AAGGGCUGUUCACCUUGAGAUGUCAUACUCAUUAGACACGGCUUCCUUCAUCAAUGCCUUUACGCGAAUGGUAUCGAGGAGGGGGACGCCCGUAUAUGUUAUAUCGGACAAUGGGACCAAUUUCGUGGGCGCAGAGCGGGGGAUGAGAGAAUUAGUUCAAGCUUUUAACCACGACAAAAUUGCCCAAGAAACCACCAAGUAUCAACCUAUUGAAUGGAAAUUCAAUCCUCCAUCGGCCCCUCAUUUUGGAGGGAUUUUCGAGGCUAUGUUAAAAAGCGCCAAGAAGGCAAUAAAAAUUGUCCUAGGAGAUGCAGAUGUGACGGAUGAAGAACUUCAGACCGCAAUGUGUGGAGCUGAAAGAUUGGUAAACUCACGGCCCAUCACUUAUGUGAGUUCAGAUCCAAACGACCCGUCCCCACUUACUCCAAAUCAUUUUAUAGUCGGACAGAUCGGUGGGGUAUUUGCUCCUGAAGCUCUUGAUCAAGUUGAAGCGAACAACCCUAGGAAUCGCUGGCAUCGAGUACAACAAUUGUUACAGCUGUUCUGGAAGCGCUGGAGAAAGGAGUUCCUUCCACGUCUUAAUGUAAGCAAGAAAUGGUUUCAUCCCAAACAUAACCUGAAACAAGGCGAUGGGGUAUUGAUUGCUGAACCCAAAGCAAGUAGGAGAGAAUGGCCUCUUGCCCGUGUGAUCGAAGCGUAUCAAGGAAGUGACGGCCUAGUCCGAGUUGUAAAGGUGAAAUCCAGGAACAAAGAAUAUUUCCGUCCUAUACAUCGAUUGUGUCCUCUCGAGUAUGUUGACGAACAUUCGGACAAUGAAGAUAGAUAACUGAAACGUUUAUAGAAGUGAACAUAAAGGACGUUAAUUAAGUCGUAUUUGUUAGUAUUCAUUGACAUUGCUAAUCCCUCUAUUUAUUGUCUCUAUUAAGUGGAAUCGAAUGCGUUGCAUUCGGGAGGGGGAUGUUAACGAACGAUAUUAUUAUAUGAAGUACUUGUUAUCAUGACCGCUGAAAUAGUCGCGCGGGCGACAAAACGUUGUUUGAACGUUCUAGUUUAUAUUUUUUGACUACAAAAAGUGUGACGAUAUUUA